GAGACGAGCAGAGAGGAGGCGAGGAGAGGAGGCAAGGAGAGGAGCAGAGAGGAGGCGAGGAGAGGAGGCAAGGAGAGGAGCAGAGAAGAGCAGAGAGGAGCAGAGAGGAGGCGAGGAGAGGAGCAGAGAGGAGCAGAGAGGAGCAGAGAGGAGGAGAGGAGAGGAGCAGAGAGGAGGCGAGGAGAGGAGCAGAGAGGGGGUGGGGAGAGGAGCAGAGAGGAGGUGAGGAGAGGAGCAGAGAGGAGGUGAGGAGAGGAGCAGAGAGGAAGUUAGGAGAGGAGCAGAGAGGAAGUGAGGAGAGGAGCAGAGAGGAGGUGAGGAGAGGAGCAGAGAGGAAGUGAGGAGAGGAGCAGAGAGGAGGUGAGGAGAGGAGCAGAGAGGAGGAGAGGAGAGGAGGAGAGGAGAGGAGCAGAGAGGAGCAGAGAGGAGGUGAGGAGAGGAGCAG
ensembl:lncRNA